GACGAACGCUGGCGGCGUGCUUAACACAUGCAAGUCGAACGGAAAGGCCCUGCUUUUGUGGGGUGCUCGAGUGGCGAACGGGUGAGUAACACGUGAGUAACCUGCCCUUGACUUUGAGAUAACUUCAGGAAACUGGGGCUAAUACCGGAUAGGAGCUCCUGCUGCAUGGUGGGGGUUGGAAAGUUUCGGCGGUUGGGGAUGGACUUGCGGCUUAUCAGCUUGUUGGUGGGGUAGUGGCUUACCAAGGCUUUGACGGGUAGCCGGCCUGAGAGGGUGACCGGCCACAUUGGGACUGAGAUACGGCCCAGACUCCUACGGGAGGCAGCAGUGGGGAAUAUUGCACAAUGGGCGGAAGCCUGAUGCAGCAACGCCGCGUGCGGGAUGACGGCCUUCGGGUUGUAAACCGCUUUCGCCUGUGACGAAGCGUGAGUGACGGUAAUGGGUAAAGAAGCACCGGCUAACUACGUG
rnacentral:rRNA from 1 species